GGGACAGGCUAUGGAGAGGCAACGGGACAGGCUAUGGAGAGGCAACAGGACAGGCUAUGGAGAGGCAAUAGGACAGGCUAUGGAGAGGCAACGGGACAGGCUAUGGAGAGGCAACGGGACUGGCUAUGGAGAGGCAAUAGGACAGGCUAUGGAGAGGCAAUGGGACAGGCUAUGGAGAGGCAAUGGGACAGGCUAUGGAGAGGCAAUAGGACAGGCUAUGGAGAGGCAAUGGGACAGGCUAUGGAGAGGCAACGGGACUGGCUAUGGAGAGGCAAUAGGACAGGCUAUGGAGAGGCAACGGGACUGGCUAUGGAGAGGCAAUAGGACAGGCUAUGGAGAGGCAAUGGGACAGGCUAUGGAGAGGCAAUAGGACAGGCUAUGGAGAGGCAAUGGGACAGGCUAUGGAGAGGCAACGGGACUGGCUAUGGAGAGGCAAUAGGACAGGCUAUGGAGAGGCAAUGGGACAGGCUAUGGAGAGGCAACGGUACAGACUAGGGAGAGGCCACGGGACAGGCUAUGUAGAGGCCACGGGACAGGCUAUGGAGAGGCCACGGGAAAGGCUAUGGAGAGGCAACGGUACAGACUAGGGAGAGGCAAUGGGACAGGCUAUGUAGAGGCCACGAGACAGGCUAUGGAGAGGCAACGGGACAGCCGAUAGACAGCGAGGAGAGUUCAUCCUACAGAAUGAGGAGUGUGAGAUGAAGGCUGACAGACAGGACCGUUCCUCCUCCCACAGAAGGCUGACAGAAACGUCCGUUCCUCUUCCCACAGAAGGCUGACAGAAAGGACCGUUCCUCCUUCCACAGAAGGCUGACAAACGUCCGUUCCUCCUCCCACAGAAGGCUGACAGAAAGGUCCGUUCCUCCUCCCACAGAAGGCUGACAGAAAGGUCCGUUCCUCCUCCCACAGAAGGCUGACAGACAGGACCGUUCCUCCUCCCACAGAAGGCUGACAGAAAGGUCCGUUCCUCCUCCCACAGAAGGCUGACAGAAAGGACCGUUCCUCCUCCCACAGAAGGCUGACAGAAAGGUCCGUUCCUCCUCCCACAGAAGGCUGACAGAAAGGUCCGUUCCUCCUCCCACAGAAGGCUGACAGACAGGACCGUUCCUCCUCCCACAGAAGGCUGACAGAAAGGUCCGUUCCUCCUCCCACAGAAGGCUGACAGAAAGGUCCGUUCCUCCUCCCACAGAAGGCUGACAGAAAGGUCCGUUCCUCCUCCCACAGAAGGCUGACAGACAGGACCGUUCCUCCUCCCACAGAAGGCUGACAGACAGGACCGUUCCUCCUCCCACAGAAGGCUGACAGAAAGGUCCGUUCCUCCUCCCACAGAAGGCUGACAGACAGGACCGUUCCUCCUCCCACAGAAGGCUGACAGAAAGGUCCGUUCCUCCUCCCACAGAAGGCUGACAGACAGGACCGUUCCUCCUCCCACAGAAGGCUGACAGACAGGACCGUUCCUCCUCCCACAGAAGGCUGACAGACAGGACCGUUCCUCCUCCCACAGAAGGCUGACAGACAGGACCGUUCCUCCUCCCACAGAAGGCUGACAGACAGGACCGUUCCUCCUCCCACAGAAGGCUGACAGAAAGGUCCGUUCCUCCUCCCACAGAAGGCUGACAGACAGGACCGUUCCUCCUCCCACAGAAGGCUGACAGAAAGGUCCGUUCCUCCUCCCACAGAAGGCUGACAGACAGGACCGUUCCUCCUCCCACAGAAGGCUGACAGAAAGGUCCGUUCCUCCUCCCACAGAAGGCUGACAGACAGGACCGUUCCUCCUCCCACAGAAGGCUGACAGACAGGACCGUUCCUCCUCCCACAGAAGGCUGACAGAAAGGUCCGUUCCUCCUCCCACAGAAGGCUGACAGACAGGACCGUUCCUCCUCCCACAGAAGGCUGACAGAAAGGUCCGUUCCUCCUCCCACAGAAGGCUGACAGACAGGACCGUUCCUCCUCCCACAGAAGGCUGACAGAAAGGUCCGUUCCUCCUCCCACAGAAGGCUGACAGACAGGACCGUUCCUCCUCCCACAGAAGGCUGACAGACAGGACCGUUCCUCCUCCCACAGAAGGCUGACAGACAGGUCCGUUCCUCCUCCCACAGAAGGCUGACAGAAAGGUCCGUUCCUCCUCCCACAGAAGGCUGACAGACAGGUCCGUUCCUCCUCCCACAGAAGGCUGACAGACAGGACCG